rnacentral:misc_RNA from 1 species
CACAUGUGUUUUUUAUUGAACAAAUUUCUUUGGUGGCGGGAGCAAUCCUACCGCCAGAGGUUAUAACUAAACCAAACUUUUUAUUUACAGUCAAACUUGAUUUAUUAUUACAAUAGUCAAAACUUUCAACAACGGAUCUCUUGGUUCUCGCAUCGAUGAAGAACGCAGCGAAAUGCGAUACGUAAUAUGAAUUGCAGAUAUUCGUGAAUCAUCGAAUCUUUGAACGCACAUUGCGCCCUUUGGUAUUCCAAAGGGCAUGCCUGUUUGAGCGUCAUUUCUCCCUCAAACCCCCGGGUUUGGUGUUGAGCAAUACGCUAGGUUUGUUUGAAAGAAUUUAACG